GGGUAAUCAGGGUUUGCAGGUAGCUGACCCGGAUAUAUUUGAGAUUAUGGAGAAGGAGAAGCAGAGACAGUACAAAGGGAUUGAACUGAUUGCUUCUGAAAAUUUUGUAUGCAAGGCUGUGAUGGAGGCAUUGGGGAGCCAUUUGACAAAUAAGUAUUCUGAAGGAGCAUCGGGGGCAAGGUAUUAUGGUGGUAAUCAGUUUAUUGAUGAAAUUGAGACAUUAUGUUGUAAGCGUGCGUUAGCUGCUUUUGGACUUGACCCGGAGAAUUGGGGUGUGAAUGUGCAACCAUAUUCAUGUACUUCAGCAAACUUUGCAGUUUAUACUGGCUUAUUGCUCCCUGGUGAUCGGAUAAUGGGAUUGGAUACACCAUCUGGUGGAAACACAAGUCAUGGGUAUUAUCUACCUAAUGGGAGGAGAGUUUCAGGGGCUUCAAUUUUCUUUGAGUCUCUCUCUUACAAGGUUGACCCCCAAACUGGGUAUGUAGAUUUUGAUAAGCUCGAGGAAAGGGCUCUUGAUUUCCGUCCCAAGAUACUUAUAUGUGGGGGGAGUUCGUAUCCCCGGGAAUGGGAUUAUGCAAAGUUUAGACAGAUUGCUGACAAAUGUGGUGCGGUUUUGUUGUGCGAUAUGGCACAAAUUAGUGGUCUCAUUGCUGCAAAGGAAUGUGCGAGUCCGUUUGAUUAUUGUGAUAUAGUUACCUCAACAACUCACAAAAGUCUUCGAG
rnacentral:misc_RNA from 1 species